rnacentral:rRNA from 1 species
GCAGUGAAAAUGCGUAGAUAUCAAGUGGAACACCAGUGGCGGAAGGGCGGAGUCCCUGGACAACUCCUGACACUGAGGCACGAAAGCUAGGGGAGCAAACAGGGAUUAGAUACCCUGGUAGUCCUAGCCGUAAACGGUGCACGUUUGCUGUAAGAAGAAUCGACCCCUCUUGUGGCGAAGCUAACGCGUUAAACGUGCCGCCUGGGAAGUACGGGUCGCAAGAUUAAAACUCAAAGAAAUUGACGGGGGGCCUGCACAAGCGGUGGAGUAUGUGGCUCAAUUCGAUGCAACGCGAAGAACCUUACCUGGCCUUGACAUGUACGUAGUAGAAGGGUGAAAGCCUGACGAGGUAGCAAUACCAGCGUACACAGGUGCUGCAUGGCUGUCGUCAGCUCGUGUCGUGAGAUGUUGGGUUAAGUCCCGCAACGAGCGCAACCCCUGUGUCCUGUUGCCACCUGGCCGAGAGGCUGGAGCACUCUGGACAGACUGCCUCAUUUUAAUGAGGAGGAAGGUGGGGAUGACGUCAAGUCAGUAUGGCCCUUACGGCCAGGGCUGCACACGUACUACAAUGCCCGGCACAAAGGGAAGCAAGAGCGUAAGCUGGAGCAAAUCCCAGAAAACCGGGCCCAGUUCAGAUUGUCGUCUGCAACUCGACGGCAUGAAGCUGGAAUCGCUAGUAAUGGCGCAUCAGCUACGGCGCCGUGAAUACGUUCCCAGGCCUUGUACACACCGCCCGUCACAUUAUGAAAGCCGUUUGUACCCGAAGUCGCCCCUCACAAGGUGCCGAAGGUAUGGAUGGUGAUUGGGAUGUUGUCGUACCAAGGU